rnacentral:tRNA from 6 species
UCCCGGAUCGUCUAACGGCAGGACACUAGGUUUUGGUCCUAGGAAUCGGGGUUCGAAUCCCUGUCCGGGAAACA